CUACGGGACGCAGCAGUGGGGAAUCUUGCACAAUGGGCGAAAGCCUGAUGCAGCGAUUCCGCGUGGAGGAUGACGCAUUACGGUGUGUAAACUCCUUUUCUGGUGGAAGACGAAUGACGGUACACCAGGAAUAAGGGACGGCUAACUACGUGCCAGCAGCCGCGGUAAUACGUAGGUCCCAAGCGUUAUCCGGAUUUACUGGGCGUAAAGAGUCUGUAGCCUGAUAUAUAAGUCUGUUUUCAAAUACCUGGACUCAAUCGAGGGAAGGGGAUAGAUACUGUAUAUCUAGAGAUAAUUGGGGGUUAGUGGAAUUUCCGGUGGAGCGGUGAAAUGCGUUGAUAUCGGAAAGAAUGCCGAAAGCGAAAGCAGCUAACUACAAUACAUCUGACGGUGAGAGACGAAAGUUUGGGUAGCAAACGGGAUUAGAUACCCUUGUAGUC
rnacentral:rRNA from 1 species